rnacentral:rRNA from 1 species
AUUGAACGCUAGCGGGAUGCCUUACACAUGCAAGUCGAACGGCAGCGCGGACUUCGGUCUGGCGGCGAGUGGCGAACGGGUGAGUAAUGUAUCGGAACGUGCCCAGUAGCGGUGGAUAACUACUAGACAGAGUAGCUAAUACCGCAUACGCCCUACGGGGGUAAGGGGGAGAUCGCAAGACAUCACACUAUUGGAGCGGCCGAUAUCGGAUUAGCUAGUUGGUGAGGUAAAGGCCCACCAAGGCGACGACCCGUAGCUGGUUUGAGAGGACGACCAGCCACACUGGGACUGAGACACGGCCGAGACUCCUACGGGAAGCAGCAGUGGGGAAUUUUGGACAAUGGGGGAAACCCUGAUCCAGCCAUUCCGCGUGUGCGAUGAAGGCCUUCGGGUUGUAAAGCACUUUUGGCAGGAAAGAAAUCGCAUCAAUUAAUACUUGGUGUGGAUGACGGUACCUGCAGAAUAAGCACCGGCUAACUACGUGCCAGCCGCCGCAGUAA